rnacentral:rRNA from 1 species
CUACUGACCUAGCGGCGGACGGGUGAGUAAUGCUUAGGAAUCUGCCUAUUAGUGGGGGACAACAUUCCGAAAGGAAUGCUAAUACCGCAUACGCCCUACGGGGGAAAGCAGGGGAUCUUCGGACCUUGCGCUAAUAGAUGAGCCUAAGUCAGAUUAGCUAGUUGGUGGGGUAAAGGCCUACCAAGGCGACGAUCUGUAGCGGGUCUGAGAGGAUGAUCCGCCACACUGGGACUGAGACACGGCCCAGACUCCUACGGGAGGCAGCAGUGGGGAAUAUUGGACAAUGGGCGAAAGCCUGAUCCAGCCAUGCCGCGUGUGUGAAGAAGGCCUUUUGGUUGUAAAGCACUUUAAGCGAGGAGGAGGCUACUUGGAUUAAUACUCUAGGAUAGUGGACGUUACUCGCAGAAUAAGCACCGGCUAACUCUGUGCCAGCAGCCGCGGUAAUACAGAGGGUGCGAGCGUUAAUCGGAUUUACUGGGCGUAAAGCGUGCGUAGGCGGCUUCUUAAGUCGGAUGUGAAAUCCCUGAGCUUAACUUAGGAAUUGCAUUCGAUACUGGGAAGCUAGAGUAUGGGAGAGGAUGGUAGAAUUCCAGGUGUAGCGGUGAAAUGCGUAGAGAUCUGGAGGAAUACCGAUGGCGA